rnacentral:rRNA from 1 species
GAUACAUGCAAGUCAAGGAGAAUUUUAUUUUCGGAUAAAUAGUAAACUGGCGAACGGGUGAGUAACGCGUAAAUAACUUGCCUCAGAGAUUGGGACAACAUUGGGAAACCAGUGCUAAUACCAAAUAAUGCAGCGGGCCCUUCGGGGUAUUUGUUGUUAAAGUGGGCUUCGGCUCACGCUUUGAGAUAGGUUUGCGUCCGAUUAGUUAGUUGGUAGGGUAAUUGCCUACCAAGGCGAAGAUCGGUAGCUGGUCUGAGAGGAUGAUCAGCCACACUGGAAUUGAGAUACGGUCCAGACUCCUACGGGAGGCAGCAGUAAGGAAUUUUGCACAAUGGGCGAAAGCCUGAUGCAGCAACGCCGCGUGAUUGAUGAAGUUUUUAGGAAUGUAAAAAUCUGUCGUAAGGGAAGAAAUGUUUCAGAUAUUAAUACUAUCUGUUAUUGACGGUACCUUACAAGAAAGCACCGGCUAACUUCGUGCCAGCAGCCGCGGUAAUACGAGGGGUGCUAGCGUUGUCCGGAUUUACUGGGCGUAAAGGGUACGUAGGCGUUUUAACAAGUUAUGUGUUAAAUACUUUAGCUUAACUAAAGAACUGCACAUAAAACUGUUAGAAUAGAGUUUGAGAGAGGAACGCAGAAUUCAUGGUGGAGCGGUGACAUGCGUAGAUAUCAUGAGGAAAGUCAAAUGCGAAGGCAGCCUUCUGGCUCAAAACUGACGCUGAGGUACGAAAGCGUGGGGAGCGAACAGGAUUAGAUACCCUGGUAGUCCACGCCGUAAACGAUGAGUACUUGGUGCUGGAAGAUUCGACCCUUUCAGUGCCGUAGCUAACGCGAUAAG